ensembl:lncRNA
AAAGCAAAAAAGCAAAAAAGCAAAAAAACAAAAAAGCAAAAAAACAAACAAAACCAAAAAAAACAACACGAAAACAAAUGGAAAGGGAAAAAUAAACAAAAACGAAUAAAAACGAACAAAAACUAACAAAAAAAAAAAAAAAAAAAAAAAAAAAAAAAAAAAAAAAAAAAAAAAAGAAGCGUGCCUUUCUACAAACUUAUUUGCUUAUUCAUUUAUAAAUUUUACUCUUUUCUUUGACUUUUCUUUAAUUUAUUUUAUUGAAGUUAACCAAUUUGUAAUAUAAUACUCAUAUAAGCUUUUUUAUUAAGAAAGAAACACAGAAUAUAAAUAUUGAUGCAAAAAACGUACAUUAUUUUACAAGUGUAAUUGUUAUAGUAUUUCUAUAAAAUUAGUAUAAAAAUUAAAAAAAAAAAAAAAUUGCAUGACAUGCACAUGAAUUAAAUGAUUUAAGUUACAUUAACGUUUGUUAUACAUUUUAUUUUCUUUCUUAUGUACUUAAUGAGAAGUUGUAUAUAUGUAUGCUGCUUGUAAAGAAUGUUGAAGAAUUGUUUAAUAUAUAUGUAUAUGCAUUUAUAGCAAAAAUUGUCAAAGUAAUUGAAAAUAAAAUUAACAUGCUAAUAAAUAAAAAUAAUUACAAAGUAGAGAACUUAUUAACUACGUUGUGAUUCAAUUAAAAUUGUGAAUAUAAUUAUAUAUAUAUAUACAUAUAUAUAAUUUUUUUUUUUUUUCUUAUUUUUUUUUUUAUUGUUUUCGCCGUUUUUCAGAUGAUGAUAUAAUGAAUCAAUUUUACUAAAAUGUUUUUUUCAAUUUAAUAAAUUAUUUUUAUUUAUUAUAUACUUCUUCCUGAGUUUUCUAUAUUUGUUAACUGUUUAAUAUCCCACAACAUUUUUUUCUUUUUUUUUUAUUUUGAUUUUGUUAUAUUUUCCUUUUUUUAUAUUUUUCCUUUUUUUUAAAGUACUAUAACAAUCAAUAUAACUUUUUACAUAUUUCAUUAUGAAGUUCAUAUUUGUGUUGCUUUUUAAUCUUAUAUUUUUAUUACCCAUUUUUGAAGUGGUAAUCACUAAUGGAGAAACUGCAAAGGCAAAAAAGAAAGUUUCAAGUUCGCAUUUAAAAUAUGAUAAGUAUACUUUGCGUAGUAGUUGUCAUACCUCAAGACUGCAAUCUGGUGAAAAGGGGUUGAUAAAUAAUUCAAAUUCGAGUAACAAUGUAUUCGUUUUAUAUUUCUAUGCGAAAUGGUGCCACGCGUGUAAACUACAGUCAGCAGAAAUUGAAAAAUUAGAAAGGUCCAUGAAAGCAAGAGUGCGCGUGAUAAAAAUUGACAUAGAUGAAAAUGAAAAAUUGGGUAGAAAAUUUGAUAUAAAUGUCCUACCUACAAUUAUAAUAGUAAAAAACAAAAUUAUUUAUGAAAAAAAAACAACGGUUUAUACCAUAUAAUAUUUUAAGUACAUUAGUUAGGAAAUAUUUAUAAGCGAUCUUUAUAGAGUUAUUAUUUUUUUAAUUUGUUUUUUAUUGUUUCUCCCUGUUUUUUUAUAUAUCCAUAUGGUUUCUUAUUUAUUUGUUUAUUUUUAAUUAUUGUUUUCGGCUUGUAAUUUCAUUACUUUAAAUAAAAGUUUGCUUCUUUUUUCA